CCUACGGGAGGCAGCAGUGAGGAAUAUUGGUCAAUGGACGAGAGUCUGAACCAGCCAAGUAGCGUGAAGGAUGACUGCCCUAUGGGUUGUAAACUUCUUUUAUAUGGGAAUAAAAUGUUCCACGUGUGGGAUUUUGUAUGUACCAUAUGAAUAAGGAUCGACUAACUCCGUGCCAGCAGCCGCGGUAAUACGGAGGAUCCGAGCGUUAUCCGGAUUUAUUGGGUUUAAAGGGAGCGUAGGUGGAUUGUUAAGUCAGUUGUGAAAGUUUGAGGCUCAACCGUAAAAUUGCAGUUGAAACUGGCAGUCUUGAGUACAGUAGAGGUGGGCGGAAUUCGUGGUGUAGCGGUGAAAUGCUUAGAUAUCACGAAGAACUCCGAUUGCGAAGGCAGUUCACUGGACUGCAACUGACACUGAGGCUCGAAAGUGUGGGUAUCAAACAGGAUUAGAUACCCUAGUAGUC
rnacentral:rRNA from 1 species